GAAUAUACCGGCUCUGCUCAACGGAUUUUGAUUUGCUCGUUAGAUUCGUUUGUCGUAACAAUGGUUAUAAGUGCUGUGUGUUGUGUACUUAAUUGCGGUAAAACGCGAUUAGAUAAUAUGAUUCUUCACCAAUGACCCAAUCCAAUUAUUGAGCCUGACUGGUUUCUUCUUCUAAUGGCAGUGAUGUGUUAGCAAUGGAAAACUGUGUCAUACUCACUUUAAGAAAAAAUAUAAUACUUCAAGCGGAAGGCUCCGUUUUACCCAUUUCUCUAUUGAGGUCUUGGGGUAUGGAAUUGAUAAGCAAACCACAUUGCUGCAAUUUCCAAUCAAUGUUCAAGAACCAAUGCAAGAUGAUCAAGUACCCAGAGCCCCUUUGAGGAACAUCACCAAUCAGUACCCCCACGGCGGCUACUAAUCUCAGAUCUCAGCCGUCAGCUUCAGGAAUUGAUAAGCAAGCAAACCGCAUCGCUGCAAUUUGCUAGCAAUAUUCAAGAACCGAUGCAAGAUGAUCAAAUACCCAGAGCCCCUUUGAGGAACAUCACUGAUGUCAGUUCUCAGCCGUCAACUUCAGGUCACGCGCCACGACACAUACCCCGAUUUUUCACGGAAGCUAGCAGUUUGGCCAAACAAAUAAAAAACCUUACUGAGACAAAAGAAAAAUAUUCUGUAAGAUUAAAAAAAAGCUUAUGUGUCUAUCCACAAACACAUCUUUUCAAAAGGCUAUUAGGAGUUUCAUCGUUGAACAUCUUCUCUUCACCACACCCACACACACUCUCUCUCUCUCUUUCUUGAUUCUUUGAACUAAUAAGAAAGGUCCAUUUUAUUCAUAAGAGUGCAAAGUAAUUUGAUUCAAAUUUUAAAUUGAAGUUCUAAACUGCUGGUAGAAUGUACCUUUUAGUAAUGAUUUUGAAUUGGAAAUGUUUAUUUAAUUGUUGAAAUGUUUUUUUACAGUUCGUUUAUUGCUCGUGUUGGUGUGGUGAAAAUUGUCGGUAGGAAACACUGCGCUUGAAAUAAUUAAGACGCAUUAGGAGAAGUAAUUCUCUAAACGCUUUCGACUAGUUCUUUCCUGGUUUUUGAAGCUAAGUAGUAUCACCACCAAUUACGUAACUAUAAAACAUAUUUUAAAAUAAAUUAUUAAAAACUAUUCCCCUG